rnacentral:misc_RNA from 1 species
CAAAUGAAUUGUCUUCAAAUGGCAUUUUCAUAAAGUCACCCUUGACAAAGUUGCAAGUCUUAUCCAAUUUUGCAAUGCGAUUCAGUUCCUCUCCUCUAGUAAUCUGAUAGCUAUUGUUGUUCAACCCAGUAAUUGAAGUAUAGCUGAAUCUUGCAAUCUCUCUCAGUGGCCCGCCUAUGCCACAUCCAACAUCCAAAACCUUCUGUCCAG